rnacentral:rRNA from 1 species
GAUGAACGCUGGCGGCGUGCCUAAUACAUGCCAGUCGAGCGAACAGACGAGGAGCUUGCUCCUCUGACGUUAGCGGCGGACGGGUGAGUAACACGUGGAUAACCUACCUAUAAGACUGGGAUAACUUCGGGAAACCGGAGCUAAUACCGGAUAAUAUAUUGAACCGCAUGGUUCAAUAGUGAAAGACGGUUUUGCUGUCACUUAUAGAUGGACCCGCGCCGCAUUAGCUAGUUGGUAAGGUAACGGCUUACCAAGGCGACGAUGCGUAGCCGACCUGAGAGGGUGAUCGGCCACACUGGAACUGAGACACGGUCCAGACUCCUACGGGAGGCAGCAGUAGGGAAUCUUCCGCAAUGGGCGAAAGCCUGACGGAGCAACGCCGCGUGAGUGAUGAAGGUCUUCGGAUCGUAAAACUCUGUUAUUAGGGAAGAACAAAUGUGUAAGUAACUAUGCACGUCUUGACGGUACCUAAUCAGAAAGCCACGGCUAACUACGUG